rnacentral:rRNA from 1 species
CCUACGGGGUGCAGCAGUGAGGAAUAUUGGUCAAUGGGCGAGAGCCUGAACCAGCCAAGUCGCGUGAGGGAGUACUGCCCUAUGGGUUGUAAACCUCUUUUGUCGGGGAGCAAAAGCCGGACGUGUCCGGCUGUGAGAGUACCCGAAGAAAAAGCAUCGGCUAACUCCGUGCCAGCAGCCGCGGUAAUACGGAGGAUGCGAGCGUUAUCCGGAUUUAUUGGGGUUAAAGGGUGCGCAGGCGGAUUUUUAAGUCAGCGGUCAAAUCGUGGGGCUCAACCCCAUCCAGCCGUUGAAACUGGGGAUCUAGAGUGUGCGAGAGGUAUGCGGAAUGCGUGGUGUAGCGGUGAAAUGCAUAGAUAUCACGCAGAACCCCGAUUGCGAAGGCAGCAUACCGGUGCACAACUGACGCUCAGGCACGAAAGCAUGGGUAUCGAACAGGAUUAGAUACCCCAGUAGUC